UGCAUGCACAGGUCGCGCUCAUACUGUGUUGUCUGGAGCUUUCCUUGCAUUUGGCGUAACACCGUAUCUGGUGAUGACAGCGGGACGGGAACGGCAUUUGAAUAGUGUGAGUUCUCGGCUGAUCUGCCACCAUCUUUAAAGUCGCUCUGGAUCACUGAGACUAUUCCCCGCUCAGCAGCUUUGGGUGAACUGAUCCUCGCACUCUGCCGCAAUAAAGAGGACAGUUUCCACCGUCAGCGCUGAGGUAAGGAUACGCUUGGAUGUAUCUGAGGGCAGUGACCUGUCUGGCCUCAGUCCAUGUCCUGCCAACAAACAGUGGAUCUGCUGGAGAUGUUAUUCACCAGACAGUCGGCGUUCCUAGACGUGUCACAGGUGAAUUCAUUUUUUUCCUGUUGUGUUUUUUCAUUCGAAAGCCUAACAAGAGGUGUGGCAGUCAUUCAUUUGCAAUAAUAGAAAUAAAUAUCCCCUGCUCUUGC